AUGGAUGGCUACGUGCAGGCUCGAGACGGGAGGGAGGCGCUGGGGGUGUUCUCCCAGAUGCAGACCCAAGAUGUCCGCACAGACGACACGGUUCUUGUUGCGCUGGGGGUGCUUGCUGCGUGCGCGCAGCUGGGCGCUCUGGAGCAGGGGAAGUGGGUACAUGGCUACCUCAAAGCAAACAAUAUUUGGUUGAUAUGUAUGCCAAAUGUGGCGAGGUGCAGCUUGGAAUGGAGUACUAUGAUCAAGGGCCUGGCUAUGCACGGCCGAGGCUCGGAUUCGUUGACGCUCGUUUCCCACAUGAAGAGCUCAGGUGUUGAGCCGGGUGACAUUGCCUUCAUUGGCGCGCUCUGUGGGUGCACACACACUGGGUUGGUUGACAAGGGUCGGGAGCUUUUCAAUUCCAUGGUCAGCAACUAUGGUAUUAAACCAAAGAUUGAGCAUUAUGGGUGCAUGGUAAUCCUCCUGGCACGGAAUGGCUUGCUUAGUGAGGCCAAAGACAUGGUUGAGAAAAUGCGCAUAAAACUGGAUGCCUUAAUAUGUUGUAGCCUUGUAGGUUUCACAAGAAUGUGGAGUUGGCUGAGUAAGUUAUAA
rnacentral:rRNA from 1 species